rnacentral:rRNA from 1 species
AACGAACGCUGGCGGCAUGCCUAACACAUGCAAGUCGAACGGAAACACCGUGCUUGUUUGCGCUUCUGGGGGGGCGAACGGGGAAGUGACACGUAAGUAACGUACCCUUCACUUUCGGGGGACUUAACGAAGGUAGACCUAAUCCCAGAUAGGAUCUCCUGCUGCAGGGUGGGCAUGGGAAAGUUUCGGCGGUUGGGGUUGGACGGGCGGAUGAUUGGCUUGUUGGUGGGCGAGUGGCAUACCGAGGCUGGGACGGGUAGCCGGCAGGGGAGGGUGACCGGCGACAAUGGGACUGAGAUAGGGACCAGACUCGUACGGGGGGCAGCGGUGGGAAAUAUUGCACAAUGGGAGGAAGCGUGAGGCAGCAGCGCCGCGGGCGGGAUGACGGUCUUCGGGUUGUAAAAAGCUUUCGCUUGUGACCAAGCGGGUGUGACGGUAACCGGCAAAGAAGCACCGGCUAACUACGUG